rnacentral:rRNA from 1 species
AUUGAACGCUGGCGGCAGGCCUAACACAUGCAAGUCGAGCGGAGCGUCGGACGGGUGGGUAAUGCCUAGGAAGCUGCCUGGUGGUGGGGGAUAACUGACGGAAACGGGCGGUACUGCAGAAUACUAUCAGAUGAGCCUAGGUUGGAUUAGCUAGAUGGUGGGGUAAAGGCUUACCAAGGUGACGAUCUGUCACUGGUCUGAGAGGAUGAUCAGUCACACUGGAACUGAGACACGGUCCAGACUCCUACGGGAGGCAGCAGUGGGGAAUAUUGGACAAUGGGCGAAAGCCUGAUCCAGCCAUGCCGCGUGUGUGAAGAAGGUCUUCGGAUUGUAAAGCACUUUAAGUUGGGAGGCGUUACCAACAGAAUAAGCACCGGCUAACUUCGUGCCAGCAGCCGCGGUAAUAC